rnacentral:Y_RNA from 1 species
GACUGGUCUGAUAGUAGUGGGUUAUCAGAACUUAUUAAUAUUAACGUCACUAAAGUUGGUAUUCAAACCCCCACUGCUGAAUUUGGCGUAAA